rnacentral:lncRNA from 1 species
CAAAGGAUCAAAAAACCUACCACGACCUAAAGGAGUUCGGAACGAUGGCAUAAAAGGACAAACAAUAGAAACGGAAGAUGUCAAGGAUGAAGGGAUGAAUGGAAAAUCUUAAGCCCGCUCCGAGUGCUUCGUCAUAUAUGACAAGCUGAUCAGGGGUCGUGCUAUCUAUGUGCUCGCUUGCUCUGGGGAGUUCAAUAUCAAAAUUCAAGAGAAUCUCGUACCAAACCCAUAUCCAUCUCAAAUUAUCCAGAUUCAAUGCAGAGCUAUAGGCACUGAGACCUAGCUCACUCUGCUCGGCCAUUUUCAAACAAAAGAACUAAAAGGAUAUCUAGAGAAAGGAGAG